UACUGGUAGUGCUGGAAGUGUGUAAAUCUCAGAAUCACUUUCUAGUUAACUUUGAGCCUUUUACCACGAUAACAAUAUACCUCUUCAUGGCCCAACAACUCACACCUCGGGCAGGGUGGGGCUAAAAGCCCAGCUGGCCCCUAAUGCAAACAACAGACCCAAUACAAAAGUGAUUUAGACUUGAAGGGAACAGUCUUGAUUCUAUGAGCUUCUAAAAUAUACCGUGUAAACAGAAUGCUAUGCUUGUGUUUCCUAUUGAUGAACAGUUCUGACUUGCAGUGCCUGCUCUCAAUUUCAAGUCAAUGUCAUUGCCACAAAUUUUUCAAAACAUGAAAAGGCCCACUUUACUAUCUUAUUAUUACAAAAGUGAUAUUUCAAGAAAAAAGUUUCAAAUGGUUUUCAUUGUCUGUUACACAAAUAAA
rnacentral:misc_RNA from 1 species